rnacentral:rRNA from 1 species
UACAGAGGGUGCGAGCGUUAAUCGGAAUUACUGGGCGUAAAGCGCACGUAGUCGGCUUUGCAAGUCGGGUGUGAAAUCCCCGGGCUCAACCUGGGAACUGCAUCCGAGACUGCAUUGCUAGAGUAUGGGAGAGGGAAGCGGAAUUUCUGGUGUAGCAGUGAAAUGCGUAGAGAUCGGAAGGAACGCCAGUGGUGAAGACGACUACCUGGACCAAUACUGACACUGAGGCGCGAAAGCGUGGGGAUCAAACAGG